CAAAGUUGCCAGGGAUGGUGGUGCACACCUGUAGUCCCAACUACUUCGGAGGCUCAGGUGGAAGGAUCUCUUGAGCCCAAGAGGUGGAGGCUGUGGGGAGCUACGAUUGUGCCUCUGCCCUCCAGCCUAGCGACAGAGAUAUAGGACCAACAGGUCCUAUAUGCAUAUCCACGGAUCUGCCUUCUGUGCGGUAACAAACCCAUUACACGAAGACAGGAGAGUUUGCAGCAGGGAAAGAGUUUAAUGAUUGCAGGGUAUCUAGCAAAGGAUGGGAAAAGACCUUCAAAUCCAUCUUCCGAAUAGUUCUGGGCUGAGGUUUUUACAAGGAUCACAGAGGGUGAGGGGCUGGAAAAUUGGGGUCGUUGAUUGGUCAGAAUAAGGGAGAUGAAAUCAUCAUGAUAGGGAAACUUCAUUCUUUGCUGAGUUAGUUUCUCAUGGGGUUCCUCAGACCAGCUGGCAUCAGUGGGAUCUUUCAGGCCAGCUGGGCAGUAGUUUCAUUGGUAUCCAGGAUCUGAAAGACUGUCUCAAAGGGAAAACUUAGUAUUUCAUAAUGUUCAAGUUGUUCUCUCUAGAGCAAUGGAAGAGAACUAUAAUCUUGUGACAGGACAGUAGGCCCCAAACAACUGUGAGGAAGCAGGUCAGAGAGGAAGCUGACCUCAUGAUUAAUGCCAAAUUGGCUGCAAGCUUGGUUUAUUUUUGUCCCCCCCACCAACCAAUUUGUUUCCUGAUUAAUUUUAUAAAGUUUAUAGGAAUGGUUUUAGAAUGACGGGAAAAAAAGGAAAUUUGGACUUAAAACUUCAAAUUCCUUACCUGGGCCUAGCUCAAUCUGGCCCUACCCACCUCCUCUGUGACCUCAAAUCACCCUCACUUCUGGCUGCUCUUUUGCCAGACUGGGCUCAGAGAUUUUGGAGGGCCCCCUUUCUUUGUCUGGAACAUUGUUUCCCCGGACCUCUGCAUAAGCCUGCCCUUUGUCACUUAAAUCUCAGCUUGGGCUGGGAAUGAUGGCUCAUGCCUGUAAUCCUAGCAUUUUGGGAGGCCGAGGUGGGUGGAUCACCUGAGGUCAGGAGUUCGAGACCAGCCUGGCCAAUAUGGUGAAACCCUAUCUUUACUAAAAAUACAAAAAAUUAGCCGGAUGUGGUGGCAGACACCUGUAAUCCCAACUCCUCAGGAGCCUGAGGCAGGAGAAUCACUUGAGCCUGGGAGGCAGAGUUUGCAGUAAGCCGAGAUCACACCACUGCACUCCAGCCUGGGCAACAAGAGUGAAACUCCAUUAAAAAAAAAAACAAAACAGCCGGGCGUGGUGGCUCAAGCCUGUAAUCCCAGCACUUUGGGAGGCCGAGGCGGGUGGAUCACAAGGUCAAGAGAUCAAGACCAUCCUGGUCAACAUGGUGAAACCCCGUCUCUACUAAAAAUACAAAAAAUUAGCUGGGCAUGGUGGCGCGUGCCUGUAAUCCCAGCUACUCGGGAGGCUGAGGCAGGAGAAUUGCCUGAACCCAGGAGGUGGAGGUUGCGGUGAGCCGAGAUCAUGCCAUUGCACUCCAGCCUGGGUAACGAGAGCAAAACUCUGUGUCAAAAAAAAAAACAGCUCAAAUGUGAACUCCAGCUGUUUCUGAUCCUUCUACCCCACCUGCUGUGAACAACCUGAGGACAGACACCUGAUCUAUCUAGUUGACCACUCUGAGUAGGACCCAGUAAAUACUUCUUGAAUGAAUCAAAGUCCCUUUUCUCAAUGCAUGACAAUUCUUUAAAUUAGUGGUUCACAAAGACUGAUCCGGAUCACUUCGGGGGGCCCACAAGGUCAAACUAUAUUCAUAAGAAUAUGAAGACAUUAUUUACCUUUUUAAACUCUCAUUCAUAUAUAGUGCAGUUUUCCAGAGGCUAUAUAAUUUUUUUUUAACAGGAUCUCACUCGGUUACCCAGGCUGGAAUGCAGUGGCAUGAUCAUAACGCACUCUAAUCUCAAGCUCCUGUUCUUAGGUGAUACUCCCCAGGUAGUCCUGGCUAAUUUUAUUUUAUUUUAUUUGUAGAGACAGGGUCUCCCUGUGUUUUGCUGGCUGGUCUCGAACUCCUAGCCUCAAGUGAUCCUUCUGCCUUAGCCUUCCAAAACACUGGGAUUAUAGGCAUGACCCACCAUACCCAGCCAUGAUGAUUGAAUGUGGAAGCACUUAUAAGUAUCCUGCUGCCUUUUAUUAAACCAAGCAUUUAAAAAUUGCAAAAAUGUAAAGCAAUGUUCUCAUAAAUUUUCUGGAAAAAAUAUUUUUUUAAUGCUAUACAUGUUAAUACAUAAUAAGUUAUUGUUACCUUUGAAUGAAUGAGUAUUAAAACCCUCAGUAUUAAUAUAUAUAACAUGUAAAUAAAAGGUCUUCUAGCUUCUCAAUAAUGUUUUUAAGAGGAUAAUGGGGUCCCAAGACCAAAAGUUUGAUAACUGUAGCUUUGAAUUAUUAUUUAGAGCUCCUAUGUGUCAGUCUAUAGGCCAAAUACUAGGAAUACUAAUGUGAAAGGCCAUGAGGUAUUUUUCUCAGAUUGAAGAGGGUAAUGGAGACAAAAGAGCAUGAGUGUACACAUAUUAAGGGGGACUCCAAUGAGUCAUACCCUUGUAUUAUCUCCUCCCCAUGAGUGUGGUUGGGACCUGUGAAUUUGCUUCUAGCCAAUAGAAUAUGGCAAAGGUGAUGAAAUGUCAUUCCCAUGACUGCUUUGUUAUAAAAGACUUGGUCUCAGCCAACUGGAGUGAGAAAGACCCUCCCGCUUGCCUUGAAGAAGCCAGUUGCUAGGCUGGGCUGGGUGGCCCAUGCCUGUAAUCCCAGCACUUUGGGAGGACAAGGCAGGUGGAUCACCACAGGUCAGGAGUUUGAGACCAUCCUGGCCAACAUGGUGAAACCCUGUCUCUACUAAAGAUACAAAAAUUAGCCAGGCAUGGUGGCAGGCACCGGUAAUCCCAGCUACUUGGGAGGCUGAGACAGGAGAAUGGCUUGAACCUGGGAGGUGGAGGUUGCAGUGAGCAGAGAUCCCGUAUUGCACUCCAGCCUGGAUGACAAGGGUGAAACUCCAUCUUAAAAAAAAAAGGAAGCCAGCUGCUAUGAUAAGAAUUAGUACCAGAGCCCUUCAUCCUCUAGGUGCAAAGAACUGAAAUUUGUCAACAAUCUGAAUGAGCUUGGAAGUGGAUCUUUCCCAGGUUGAGCUUCUGAUGAGGCUAAAGUCUUAGGAAAUAUCUGGAUUGCAGCCUGGUAAGACCCUGAAGUGGAGAACACAGAGUCUCACUGUGUCACCCAGGCUGAAGUGCAAUGACGCCAUCUCAGCUCAGUGUAACCUCUGCCUCCUGUGCUCAAGCGCGAUCCUCCCACCUCAGCCUCCCCAGUAGCUGAGUCUACAGUGGCACCAGAGGCAAGAAUUUGGUCAGACAUGCCAAUCCAGAUUAGAGGAAAUGGACCGCAGAGGAGCCGGACGUCUUUGCCUCUCAUGGUCUGCAAGUCUUUGAUUCCCCUUCUCCUCCUCCUCCCUUCAAACCCCUCCAACAAUCUUGAACAUACCUCUGACUUCUGUUUAUCUGACACUUGCUGACAAAUCUUCUUGGAAGCUGCUGGUCCAUUUAACCAUGUCACAGCCAUAUCAUGGCCACCAAGACACACCACAGCAUUGUAAGGGCCCCGAAGAAAACAUACCAUAAAAUUAAAUAAAGCUGGGUAUUUGCAAAUAAAGUUUUUAAAAACCCUUAUUUGAUUAAAACAAUGCAGUUUGAUCUCAUUUACUUCUAAGCUAUUUAACUGAAUUGAGCAUAUUUGUAUUUUUCCAAAUUCAGUAGAUCAGACUUGAAUCUCUCAUCCCACAAACAAGGAUGCCCCAGAUAAGUCUCAGUGAUUAUUGUAUGUUGCUGUGGCCACAAAUUCACCUUCUGUUAUGUUGGAGUGACAUUCAAACUGUUCUGGACAAAAUGCCAGUACUCCUUCUAAAACCAGUGUAAUCAUGAUGUGUUGAGAUAUGCCUUCAACAGGUAGCCGAGGAGUCCUAGCUUUCUGGAGUUGUUGCCCUCUGCUACUGGCUUUCAACUUUCACUCCCAUCCCAGGCACUGUGGGUGGCUUUACCUUGGUUUUGAAUUCAUUUGGUCCUGAGCAUUUGUGGAGUCUUGCUUCGUAUCCCUGGGGAUCAUUAGCAAUACCCUGGGUGUGAAGUGCUGGGGGAUACCUGUUUCCAAGCUGUGGUCUCUUUCUCAGCGUAGUAGUUAGAACCACUGGUCAGUAAAUGGUGUUUCAAAAAGCCUCAGAGCUUUGUAAUUCUACAAAUAGUGUAAAACAGGCCCCUUUGGAGUGACUCUGCAGCACUGCCUCGUAAGAGUUACGGGAAAUGAUUGGCUCUGUGUUCAGAAGGGAAUAAAUGUUGGAUGUUUUAUCUCCUGAUUGGAUGUACAGAAGCUGCCCUUGAUUUGCAGCUGAGGUCCCCGUUGGCCUCAGAAGCUCCAAAAACAUCUUAGCUAGAAAUGACAUUAAGUCAGGGCUGCUAGAUGGGUACUCCGCAGGCCUUCUGGAGCAGUGUUUCAGUGGGCCUUUAGAGUCUGUCUGCCGUGUAAUGUAUUGUGGCCUUGAAGACAUUAAUGCAGCAUCUGAAAGGGUCCAGCACAAAGGAGGGGUGGAGAUGCCCCCAGCACAAAAAAGAGGGGCUGCCUCCUUGCCUCUCAGACCUCCAUCACCAGUGAUCCAGAAGAAUGAGUUCCUUUCCUGAGACUGCGCUGAAGAGCUCUAGCCUCUUUUAUUUUUGCUUUUGGUGGGUAACUGCUGCUAAACCCAGUGUCAAAUGGGCUUUUUAGACAUGCAAAGAAGGAUUUUGUUGUGUCCCCUUGGGCUGAAUACUAACAGUUUCUUUAUUUGUGAAAUAAAAACAAUAAUAAUGACACUGCCUGUGGAAAUAAAUGAAAUAAUGUGUGUAAGGGGCUUGGCACAAAGAUGGCCUGUAUCAAGUUCUCAAUUAAUAGUGGCAUCAACAUUAGGAGAGAAGUUUGCUUUCAUAGUUACCUGUAUGGGAUGACUUUAAUUGUUUCUUGUCUAAAAGUGAAUGUACUCCCCUGACUCUGAUAUGUGAAAUUUUGUAACUAAGGAUUCACUCCUUAAAAUCAAAAUGUCUUGGUAAGUGUAAACAGUUCUGUGAAAGAGAACAUUCAGGCUUGGCAACCACUUACAAGUUAAUGAGAAUAAACUUAACAGAUUUUGAUAGGGAGAGAUAAGGGCAGUGAGUAUUUUGGGAAGAGAAAGAGUUCCCGCUGAGUAGUGGAAAGGUGAAGAGAUACUCCAAAUCCAGAGAUAGGGCAGGCUACCCUGUUAAGUAAGUGCCUCUAUUUCCUUGGGUUUGUGUCCUUUUGAGACAGGUCAUCUAAUGACCCAUACAUAUUUAGUCCCAUGGUUCUCUCGCUCCAUUAUUAACCAUUUAUUCAUUUCUUUGCUUGAAUUAGCACAAGACUGGACACAGAAUGAGGGCAAGAACCCCAGCUAUGCUUGUACUACUGCAUGUGCAAUGCCUUCCUAAAUACUUAUCUUUGAAGAGAGGCAUAUAGAUACAGUGUUACAUAAAUAUAAUUGAAAGUACAUAUGGUUGAAAGUAUAUGUCCUUGAUAUUUCCAUUCUGAAGAGUAUAUUCUUUCAGAAGACAGCUGAUGGCUUGUCUAGUUAAAUGUACUUAUUUUACAAAGAGGAAUUUAAGGCUGAAAUGGGGAAGUGAUUCUUCCCAGAUCUCCCAACUAAUUAGUGGCAGAACAGGACUAAAUCUGGGGUCUUUUGUUCCAAAAUGGUAUUUACAAUGUAGAAUUCAGCAUACCAAGUAGUCAAAUAAUGAAGGUCUGGGACAACUAAGUUGGUCCAAUAUAUAUCUGCAGAUUUUAUCUGGAGUCAAGUAUGCAAAAAGAUACAAUUUAAUUGCAUUAAAAUGAUAUUUCCUAAAAUGAAUCUCUGCAGUUAGAAGUCAUAAUGUUAACUGUCCUUGCAGGAUGGGAGUGACCAAAACAGUCAUGAAGAGAGUUUCUGGGAUGCUGACCAUGGGCUGUUUCUUAAUCUGAUGCUAGCUUAAAUGGAUUAAUUUAUGAAAAAUUUGUCUAAGUCUAUGCUUGAUGAUUUGUGUAUAUGCUUUACUCUUUAAUUUUAAAAGCUCCCUUAAAGGUGUAUGUAUUGCCUAGGCGAAGUCUAUAUGCAAGAUGCUGUUUUACCCACAUUAAAGAAAGGAUUGAAACAAAUAGUGAUAGGAUAGAGGCUCGUAUUUUAGAAGGGUCAUAAUUAUGCGCCUCAGACCUUUAACUCCUUGGAAAUCCAGUUCUUCCAAAUCCGCAAAUUUAUUUUAAAAAUGUAACAGAUAAAAAUCUACCCCAUGGGAAUCUUUUGUUCAAACAAAUGAAAAAACACAGGGGGCCUCUAGGUUUCUGGUUAUUGCCCUGUGCUCCGGGUUAGAAAUGCUUGUUCCCUGUUUCUCCACUGUAUAACCUUAUUAUGUGCUGUUACCUGAUCUUCUUUUCACCCCAGGCAGUAAAGGGAGUGAUAAGUCCUCCUCAAGGUCUUGCAAGGACCUCAUAGGUGGAUGGAGGAGGGGCAGAGGUGCCAGAUGCACAGCUGAAUUGAGCAGAGCUAUUUCAGAUGUUCAGCCUGUUCCUAUACUUCUGCUCCUCACAGUGUGAAUGGCAUGUGUGUGCCAGGCAGGUCCAAACAUAUUUUCUUGAAAUAAAUGUUAGCACAGAAGGGAGUGGGAAUUAAUGGGUUUUUAUCUAGAAAUAGAAGGAGUAGGCGGCUGCAUGCUAUUGAUGUGGAACUGACCGUAGCCUACCACCAACUUCUCAUUCUUUGAUCUUCUGCCAUGAUUUCCACUUUAAAAAAUUUCAAUUAAUGCUUUACUGAGGAAAAUACGGCAUGCUUAAUGGCCCACCAGAGUAAAUGCAGCUCUUGCAGUUUUAUAGAUUUUUUAAAUCUAAAUUACUUAUAGAAAAUCUGAAAAUAGCUAUCAGCUUUCUAGAAAUAUUGUGAUAGUUGUCUCAGGUUCUGUAUUCCCAUUCAUUGCAUACUUUCUUCUUCUUUUAAUAUUACAACUCACUUUAUGAAGUUAUUCUUUUUCUUUGCAUUUUUGAGAGUUGCUCAAAAAUUCUUUUGAAGUGUAUUUUUAAAAAAAUAUUUUUAAAUUCUUUUAUAAACACGGGGGUUUCACCAUGUUGGUCAGGCUGGUUUAGAACUCCCGACCUCAGGUGAUUCUCCUGCCUUGGCCUCCAAAGUGCUUGGAUUACAGGCGUGAGCCACCAUGCCUGUCCUCAAGUGUAUUAAUGAUUCCUUCAAUUUCACUUUUCCUUUUCUGGUUGGAAUAAGAAAAAUAUUUAUUAUUUUACAUAUAUAGAUACAUUUUAGAAAUGAAAAAUACUCUGCUUACAUAGUUGAAACAUUAAGAAGUGGCAACAGCCCUUGUCAACAUUUCAAUUGGGUUCAUAUAAUCAUUUACUGCCAUUGGCUCCUUAUUUAAAGUGUGCAAAAAUGCCUUGGUCCCAGCUCUGUGCAUUUCAAGGCAGACCAAAAGACACCUAUGAGUAAAUAAAACUAAAUAGAAAUUCAAAGAACAAAUAUCUAAAUAUUAAAAAUAUUUACCAAUUU